GACGAACGCUGGCGGCGUGCCUAAUACAUGCAAGUAGGACGCAGUUGCGAACGGGUGAGUAACGCGUAGGUAACUACCUAUUAGAGGGGGAUAACUAUUGGAAACGAUAGCUAAUACCGCAUACUAGUAGAUGGACCUGCGUUGUAUUAGCUAGUCGGUAGGGUAAUGGCCUACCUAGGCAACGAUACAUAGCCGACCAUAGGGGGUGGACGGGCCCACUGGGACUGAGACACGGCCCAGACUUCCAAGGGGGGCAGCAGUAGGGAAUCUUCGGAAAUGGGGGGAACCCUGGCCGAGCAAAGCCGCGGUAGUGAAGAAGGUUUUCGGAUCGUAAAGCUCUGUUGUGAAGGAAGCGGUACUUAACCAGAAAGCGACGGCUAACUACGUGCCAGCAGCCGCGGUAAUAC
rnacentral:rRNA from 1 species